rnacentral:lncRNA from 1 species
AUUUUGAGUGAUCCUAUCAUUUUGUGAUAUCAUACAGUAUUUUCUAUACCAUAGCAGAGUUUCUUCAAAGAUGUCGUGGCUGUAUGAUCAACAGCUCAGGAGUAUUUGCUUUUGAUGAGUGGGGUGUCAAUGGAGAGGACUUCUUGACCUUUGAACCCCAGACUCUUAAAUGGACUCCUCUGUCUGACCUGGCCACCCCUGUUGCAGUAGAGUGGAACAAGCAGGACUCAUUGAUCAGGAAUCAUGUGUAUGGGGACUUUGGCCAGAUUUUGUGUCCCGAGACUCACAAUACCUUGAAGUUGAAGAGAGCAACAUGGAUCAAUGAAUCUGCACAAACGGAUAUGGAACUCCGUAUUUUUGCCAAACCUAUCCCAGGAAAUACCUCCAUGAAUUUACAGUGUCAUGUGACAGCCUCUGACCUAUCAGGAGUCAGAAUCCAGUUAACCAAAGAUGGGGUUCCUCUGGACUAUGGGGUGGAGCGGAUUGGACCGCGUCCCAAUGGAGACGGAACCGUUCAGAUGAGAGUC